UACGUAGGGACCAAGCGUUGUCCGGAAUCAUUGGGCGUAAAGAGCGUGUAGGCGGCUUGUUAAGUCUUGCGUGAAAUCUCGGGGCUCAACCCCGAGCGGUCGUGAGAAACUGGCAGGCUAGAGUGCGGGAGAGGAGAGUGGAAUUCCUGGUGUAGCGGUGAAAUGCGCAGAUAUCGGGAGGAACACCAAUAGCGAAGGCAGCUCGCUGGGACGGUACUGACGCUAAGGCGCGAAAGCGUGGGGAGCGAACAGG
rnacentral:rRNA from 1 species